UUAAAUCACUGGUCCAAAAUUAGUAACAAUUUACUGCACCAACGUGAAGAAAUCCCACAUUUGACCUUUCACAAAAGUAAUUCCUCAAUAGGUUCACUGUUGUUUUGGCAACUGCUUCCUAUGUCAAAUUUGGUUACAUUUCAAUCCCACUUCAACCCCCCCAAGACAGUAUAGGUGUUGCAGACUCACUUAAGCAACAACAUCAUGUACAAACUACGUUGUAGGCCUAUUACACAUAUAUUAAAUAAAAUUGUAAUAAAAUGUUGUUUUACUAUGCAGUUUUUGAGAAAAGUCAAACAACAUUAUAACCUAUUCAUAAUUUAUUUACAAUAAUUUCGACUCUUAUAAAAUAUUUUCCCUCAAUUUUGGGAGCAAUCCUGCUCACGGCGAUCACGAUUCUAAUCAGAGCUAAAACACGUCGGUUCAGAUAAAGUCUUGGUUAAUUUGAAUUGAGAUUCCUCAAAGUAAAAUAUUUUUUUAAAAUCAUCCAAUGAUAGAAGAGGAGAAUAAUACUGUUAUCUAAGCUACUAAAGAAAUUGCAGAUGUCACACUUGAGACUGAGUUGACAAAUGAAAGAUGACCAGGUGCAAACCUACAUUACGCCUACUUGGUUGUGUCACAUUACAUUUUAUCAUUUGCAGAUAUAAUAAUUCUCAUAGUGAAACUGUACCAAUUAGAAAACUGUAUUAUGCAAGUAGUUUCCACAGCUUGAACAGAGCUUUGUUAUCCAUCAUCCAAUAUAUUGAUGUGCAAUCAAAUGAUUCAUGAUUGAAGAUUAUGCUAAGUCCAUCAUGUGAAUGGAUGGGCUUGUUUCUCUUAAGAUUUGAUCAAAGGUAAGACACCAUACAUUGGAAAUGUCUGCGAAGCAAUGCACAAAUGUUUAAUCAAAGGCCAGAAUAGAUAACAAACACACCAGACUGCCUACAGAGCUAAUAAGUUAUUUUCUUUUUCAUGUUCUUUGAACAGGUACAGUGGGAUGACUCGACUUUAAUAGUUAUGAAGGACAUCAGAAAUAUUUAGGACAGCAGCUGCUUUUGUUUCUACUCUGUAACAGAUUCAACUUACAUGUAGCGAAGUACAACACUUGAAAUAAAAAUACUCUAAUAAUAAUAAAAGUACACAAAGGCUCCUGACUUUGUUACAGUAAUAAGAGUAAAUUUCAUUUGUUACUUCCAGCCCUGCCUAACACAGUAUCACUAGUUACUACUGUGAUAAAUGAGUAGGCCUGCCACACUGAUGGUUCAGACAGUUAAUAAUAACCCCACCCACAGGCUUACUUUACUCCACCACAUUUACGCAUUUCACAUUCAUGAUCAGAUCAAGUCAAACAUAUCAGGCAGCACUGGACUUCAAACUCUGAAAGGAACCUUUCUUGAUCGUCUUAAAUCCCAUGAACCAGUUACCACGAGCUGCUCCGUGACUGAGCGAUGAAGACAUCCACCAGAUGUCAGCAGAGUUCCUCGCCAGCCAACAGGAGACAGAGUGACUCAUCCCGUCCUCGUUCUGUUGAUGCAGUACUGUGUUACGUCCAGCAUGCACGUUCAUGUUUAGGAACAGGAUUCUCCAGCAUAACUGCACCGAUAUGAGAAAUAUGAGCCUUUGGGGCCUUUCAGGCUUUAAUCAGGUGUUUCAGGCUCUUCAUCAGUGCCAAUAACGGGACAUUUACUGUGACAUUUGUUUGGCUGGUUCAUUAAAUACUUUCAGAAAUGUGA